UCUUCCGUAGUAUAGUGGUCAGUAUGUGAGCUUGUCAUUCCAUAUUCUUCUGAUGAAGAAUAAAAAGACAUCGCUCGAGACCCGGGUUCAAUUCCCGGCGGGAGAG